UGUAACUCAUAUUAGUUCAAAUUCUUCAAAGAGUUAUUGUAGGUGGUGAUUUAUGUAUUUUGAAUUUAUUAAUUUGAUGUGUCAAAUUUAUUAUUGUAAUGUUUCAAUAUAAUUGUAAUCCACAUCAUAUGAUCAUCAAGCUGAAAUUGAACUAUCUCUGCAGUCACCAAGUUUUGAAAUCCUGUAACUUGUGACCAAUUGAAGUGAUCAAAAGUUGGAAAGACUUUCUAAAUGUUACCUGAUCCCACAAACACUCCUGUCAGUAGAAUAGUCCCACAGCAGUGGUUCAGCAUUCCUGUAGCGGAACCAACAGAUUUUUCAGUCACUGUUUAAAAAAAACCUUGUCAAAGAUGAGAAAAUUAUUAGAAUUUAAUCUCAUUAUAAUCUCUAACUGUAUCUACCUCAUUAAUGCAACCAAAAAUUGUUGCAUGAACAUCGCAUGUCCAGCCCACAAUGCAUUGCGAACAGCCUUCCGAGCCCUGCUACCUUAGUUUGAUGCACUCACCAAAACAGUGGCGUAGUUGUGUUUAAAUUUUUGUUCUUGGUUUGAAAAUUUUACAACAUAUUAAUAUUUUACUCAGUGAUGGGGCCAGAAAUCUUUUCUGCCAAGCCUAAAAUAAAUGGGUGGGUCAAAUAAAUCUAAUUGAAAGGAAGUAUAUUUGUAAGUUCCACUUUUAUUUCAACAGAUUUAUAAAAACAAAAGCGGUCGCUAUACUUUUUCGUUGUCCGCCAUUUUGGCUAACGUGGGUCAAAAAGAAAAAUCCUGUCAACUUUACCUCAAUUAUUUGUACUGAUAAUAUUUAGUUGCACUUCAUUGUUUAAUAUUUAAACAAGCUGAAGAACUUUUUCUCUACAGUGACACAAUUUUGAAAUCACGGAACCUUUCACCAGUUAAAGUGAUCAGAAGUUGGCUAAACUUUCUGAACGUUACCUGAUCCCGCAAACACUCUUCUCAGCGAAUGAUUCCGUAGCAGUGAGGUAUCUGAGCUAGACACACACCAAACCUCUCACCAAACCAUAACUCUUCAACGCGCCGCCAUGAGCUCUUAGAUGGCGGAGCCGACAAGAGAAAGUGAUUCUGACUUUCUCUCUCAAAAACUUGUAAAAGUUUCUUGAGAUCUUGCCAAAGUCUUCCAAAAUCCUGUGAAAUAUUUGAAAAAUCCGAAUGAAGUUGUUAUAUCAAAUUAUACGACCCAUCAUAAUUUGUGACUGCCGGGCGCGAUUACAUAUUUCUCUGCACGAUUUAAAGAUAAAAACUUGUAUUCCAUUUAGAAUCAUUUAUUAAACGCUUAUUGACUUAUUAAAUGGCUACAGUGGGUUUCUACAUGGGCAAUCAAUGCGAUGGUGUGUCAAAUACAAAAUAAUACAUUAUGCUUUUCCUGUUAAUGCUAACAAAGAAGCUGAAAAGUUAGCAUAAAGAAGCUCCUGUAUUAAAGGUAAUCUUGAUACGUUUUCACAGGAACUUGAGGAACAUUUGCAGGAUCUGGAGAAAGUAAGUCAGGAUCAUUUCUUUUUUUUUUCCAUGUCCUCUGACAGGCUGUGUAUUGAUGAUAAAUUGAUGGAAGUUUUUCGUGAUGCUCUCUGUGUGUGUAAACUGACAAAAUGAAAUGGCUGUCAGAUUUUUUGUUGUCACCAAAUUACAAUUCACACACAACUACUUAGUGCAGACCAAAGACUGUUCCAAGUUUAUGCACAGAGAACAUUGUAGAGGUAACUGAUUCAAUCAAUAAAAUAAUAAUAAAAUUCCACCCAAUUAUCGUCUCUGACCUUGAAAGCAUCUUGCUCCACUACGGUUCUCUAUCACUCUAAUUUACAGUGCGGUUCGCUCCACUCUGCUGUGGACCCCAGGGGUCCGAGAAGCAAAAUUAAAAGAAAACAAUAGAUCGCACAACAAAGCCAAUGAUAAAUGGGAUUGGUGGUGUGAUUUACUGUCGUUCUCAACUUCCAAAGUUAAUAUUUUUUCCCUCCAUCACUCUCUCAUUUCAUCUGCCUUGUCUGACACUGCUACUGCAAUUUGAGAGGGAAACCUUUGGACAUGAGGCUUUGGGGUGUGUUUGGUGAAGGAGAGCAUUCUGUGGGAUUUCCUCCUGUUAGUCCUCAUUCAGAGAAUGAUACCGACUUUUGAUCACUUCACACAGUGAAAUGUUCUCCGAUUU